rnacentral:lncRNA from 1 species
GCAGUGCUCUCUAUCCCACAGCCAAGAUGAGUUGCUGCACAAGUGUAGGCCAAAGCCUGAGGACCACAGCGCUCUGUCUUGACCCUGCUGCCAAAGGGGAUCAGCAGACCGGGCCACCCUGCUCUGGACUCUGGGUGCUUCACCUCCGUGACCCUGCUUCUUAGUUUAAUCAUCUGUCAGAUGAGCCCUUUGCACUGCAAGAUUGCUUAGCAGGUUUGGCCUCCUGAACAGGUACGGGGAGAAGGAAGAAGAUGGGGCCUGUUCCACCAGAAAGGUGGACCAAUCCAGGUGACUGUGGAAAGGAUGUGGACUAUACACCCGUACUAACUUCCUUACUCCCUGUGACCCUGCAAAAAAGAAGAGAACCCCACGCACUUCGAAGGAGCCAGGACCCCAACAGACUUAAAGACCAUGAGUGAAGCUGGGUGGCAAAAACUCCAUUCCUCCUUUGA